CCUACGGGCGGCAGCAGUGGGGAAUAUUGCGCAAUGGGCGAAAGCCUGACGCAGCGACGCCGCGUGAGGGAUGAAUGUCUUCGGAUCGUAAACCUCUGUCAGCAGGGAAGAACGGUCACUGUGCUAAUCAGCAGUGAAUUGACGGUACCUGCACAGGAAGCACCGGCUAACUCCGUGCCAGCAGCCGAGGUAAUACGGAGGGGGCGAGCGUUAAUCGGAAUUACUGGUCGUAAAGCGCUCGUAGGCGGUAUGUCAAGUCAAGGGUGAAAUCCCCGCGCUCAACGGUGGAACUGCCUUUGAAACUGGCAAACUGGAGUGUGGGAGAGGAUAGCGGAAUUCCAGGUGUAGGAGUGAAAUCCGUAGAUAUCUGGAGGAACAUCAGUGGCGAAGGCGACUAUCUGGAACAUAACUGACGUUGAGGAGCGAAAGCGUGGGUAGCAAACAGGAUUAGAUACCCUUGUAGUC
rnacentral:rRNA from 1 species